CUGUCUCUAAUUAGAAGAAUGGAAAUUUUAGAAGAACAGAGUAUCAUGGUGCCAUCCCAAUUGGGUUGCUUAACAUACCAUUUCUUUGGAAAUACUAGCAUGAACACAAGGGCAGGUACUCUGCUACAUACAUGAACAGUAAUGGAAGUACUCCUAGUGCCCCAUCUGCUUGUAAUCUACCUCAGCAUACUGAUCCAGUAACUCCAACUAAUGAGCCAGUAAAGGCAAUCAUCACCAAUACUACUGUGCACACUGGUAAUAGAAGGAAAAUAGAUUGUAAUGCUCCUUUGUUGAAUCCUGAUACUGUGAUUAAUAAAUAUCCCAAACUAAAGACACUCUCUCAAGUUGGACAAUCAUCUGUAAGACUAGCAAGCAAAGUUUACUUUGGACCAUCACUUUUGAUUAAAUGUAGUGUGUAUGGGCAGAAGGAGAACCCUCCUUUGCCAUCUGGUGCUCUAAUGGAGCUGAAGCAGAAGCUACUGGGAUUAUUCCAUCCACGUGAUAUUAGUACAAAGGAAGAAUUUUAGCUGUAUUGGUCUAAGUGUAUUCAAGCAAUAAAUCAUUACUCUUCAGGGCUUAGAAGCAAAUAUCCACCUGAUAUUAAGAAUCUAGAGUAGAAGGCUACACUGAGUAUAGUAUCAUAUAAGAUA